ensembl:lncRNA
GGAGGGGUAGAGUAGGGGAUGUGAGACUGUAUGAUGGGAGGGGUAGAGUAGGGGGUGUGAUACUGUAUGAUGGGAGGGGUAGAGUAGGGGGGGUGUGAUACUGUAUGAUGGGAGGGGUAGAGUAGGGGGUGUGAUACUGUCUGAUGGGAGGGGGAGAAUAGAGGGUGUGAUACUGUAUGAUAGGAGGGGUAGAGUAGAGGGUGUGAGACUAUGAUAGGAGGGGUAGAGUAGAGGGUGUGAUACUGUCUGAUGGGAGGGGUAGAGUAGAGGGUGUGAUACUGUCUGAUGGGAGAGGUAGAGUAGAGGGUGUGAUACUGUCUGAUGGGAGAGGUAGAGUAGAGGGUGUGAUACUGUCUGAUGGGAGAGGUAGAGUAGAGGGUGUGAUACUGUAUGAUGGGAGGGGUAGAGUAGAGGGUGUGAUACUGUAUGAUGGGAGGGGUAGAGUAGGGCGUGUGAUACUGUCUGAUGGGAGGGGUAGAGUAGGGGGUGUGAGACUGUAUGAUGGGAGGGGUAGAGUAGGGGGUGUGAGACUGUAAUGAUGGGAGGGGUAGAGUAGGGGAUCGAGGUAAUACUUUUCCAGAGGAUGAGAGAACGCAGUCUGGCGUCUUUCUCUUCCCCUCUCCCCUUCCCUCGCUCCCUCCCUC